ensembl:miRNA
ACAUGACUACUGGAAAAUCCAUAGCUUUGACUAUAUAUACCUGGUUCUUCCAGUAGUCAUGUGC